rnacentral:rRNA from 1 species
GUGGGGAAUCUUAGACAAUGGGCGCAAGCCUGAUCUAGCCAUGCCGCGUGAUCGAUGAAGGCCUUAGGGUUGUAAAGAUCUUUCGUGGGGGAAGAUAAUGACGGUACCCCAAGAAGAAGCCCCGGCUAACUCCGUGCCAGCAGCCGCGGUAAUACGGAGGGGGCUAGCGUUAUUCGGAAUUACUGGGCGUAAAGCGCACGUAGGCGGAUUGAAAAGUCAGAGGUGAAAUCCCAGAGCUCAACUUUGGAACUGCCUUUGAAACUCUCAGUCUUGAGGUCGAGAGAGGUGAGUGGAAUUCCGAGUGUAGAGGUGAAAUUCGUAGAUAUUCGGAGGAACACCAGUGGCGAAGGCGGCUCACUGGCUCGAUACUGACGCUGAGGUGCGAAAGCGUGGGGAGCAAA